CAGAGCAUCAGCCAAUAACCACAUCCUUCCCGUACGGAAGCCCCUGAGGACACAGCUCCCUCAUCAUGGAUUGGAGCCGGACAACCCUCUUCUUGGCGGCAGUAACUACAGGCGUCCACCCAGCGUGUUAUCAGCUGCAGCCUGGGGAAUCAGUGAAGAUCUACGGCAAGGGUUGCAGGAACAUUUUCAGAGGCUGCUGUCUAAUCUGGGGGCGGCAGGCCUAUGAGCAAGAGCUUGACAGGAUUGCAGGGUAUGACCCAGAGGAUGGUGAAACAGGAUGCUCACAGAAAUACCGGGACAGAGUUACCCUCACCGGCGACACUGACACGAACACAGACUCUUUGGAGCUGAGUUGUCCGAGUUGCAAGAGUACAGCUGUGUAUCACUGUGCAGUCACACAGUGUGAUAACCACAUCCUGACUGUGUCAGAAACCCCGAGGAAGGAGGCAGCCAUGUCAGAAGGAGGCAGGAGAUGAGAGGGAAAAUUUGAGUGAGAACUUUGCUAAAUGUUUCAGAAAAAGAAACAAUAGAAAGUUACAUUCACUAUCAUUAGGUGAGGAACAAUGCAACUCAAGUGAACAUAUGUAAAUACCAUGCAAAUUUCUAGAGUGUGGAUAUCAGGAAUGAGGCACAAAGUUAAUGAAAGUACAAAUUUCCCAUGCAACAAUUACCCUGUAAGUAAAAUUCAUAUUCAGAGGAGAGUUUCAAUUGGUUGAGUAUAAGUUUCAAAGUCAGUUGGGUGAUUAUCAUGGAGGACAAUUUUUAGAUUACAUAGUAACUCUAUAUUUAACUUCAAAAAAAAGAAAAAAUUGCCCUGCUACCUUCCAAAGAAGCUGUAUCAUUUUACAUUACCAUCAGCAAAGAAUGAGAAUUCUUAGUACUCCAAAUUAUUGUCAAAAUACUGUUGACAGUAGUUUGGAUUUUAGCCAUUCUCAUAGGCUCUGAAUGCUAUCUCCUGGGUGUAGAUUAUAGUUCCCUAAGGAAUGAUCUCUUUGAAUAACUUUUUUAGUGAGAUGUUUGUUUAGAACUUAGGUCAACCUUUUUUUUAACUUGUUUUCUUUUCUCCAGUUAAGUGUCCUUGUAUAUUCAAGGUACAAGUCAUUUACAAAAUAUCUGAUUUUCAAAUAUUUCUCCUGGUCUAUUGCUUUUCAUUUUCUGACUUUUGCAGAGUGAAAAAAUUAUGGUUUUCAUAUUGACCAGUUUAUUAAUAUUUUACCUUUCGUUGAUCAUGUUUUUGAUGGUAAACCUAAAACUCAUUGUCUCACUCAUGGUCACUCAAAAUUUUUCCCAUGACUGUAAGCACAGAGCAUACUAAAGGAAUUGGAAGUUAGACUUCAUCUUUUGAUGCUGAAAGUAUAUACAUGAGUCAUUUGGAAUUCUUCUGUAUGUGCUGUUUGUCUCCUCCUCCAUAUUAAAAAAAAAAAAUUCAAUCAUUUGU